GACGAACGCUGGCGGCGUGCCUAAUACAUGCAAGUCGAACGCAGUUGCGAACGGGUGAGUAACGCGUCGGUAACUGCCUCAUAGCGGGGGGUAACUAUUGGAAACCAUAGCUAAUACCGCAUACUGUGAGCUGGACCUGCGUUGUAUUAGCUAGUUGGUGAGGGAAAGGCUCAACAAGGCGACGAUACAUAGCCGACUUGGGAGGGUGAGCGGCCACACUGGGAACGAGAACAGGGCCAGAACCCUACGGGAGGGAGGAAGAGGGAAUCAUCGGAAAAUGACGGAAGUCCGAACGAGGCACGGCGGGGGGGUGGAGAAGGGUUUCGGAUCGUAAAGGUAUGUUGUUAGAGAAGCGGUAACUAACCAGAAAGCGACGGCUAACUACGUGCCAGCCGCCGCGGUAAUAC
rnacentral:rRNA from 1 species